CCCGCCACUAUGCCAGCCUGAUCCGCGUGGCUCGGUGUAUUCCAGUGGUGAGCUUAGAGUAACCUCACUUCAGGAAACAGAACACUUCUCCGCGUGGAAUGCUCUGUGCCGAAAGCUGAGAACAGCG